GACGAACGCUGGCGGCGUGCCUAACACAUGCAAGUCGAACGGAGAAAGAACGCUGAAUUGAAGCUAGCUUGCUAGAAGAUUUUCUUGUUUUUCUUAGUGGCGGACGGGUGAGUAACGCGUGAGUAACCUGCCCUUCAGAGGGGGACAACAGUUGGAAACGACUGCUAAUACCGCAUAACGUAUUUUUAAGGCAUCUUAGAGAUACCAAAGGAGCAAUCCGCUGAAGGAUGGACUCGCGUCCGAUUAGAUAGUUGGUGGGGUAACGGCUCACCAAGUCGACGAUCGGUAGCCGGACUGAGAGGUUGAACGGCCACAUUGGGACUGAGACACGGCCCGAGACUCCUACGGGAGGCAGCAGGUGGGGGAUAUUGCACAAUGGGCGAAAGCCUGA
rnacentral:rRNA from 1 species